GACAGAGGUGGCAAGCGUUGUCCGGAAUUACUGGGCGUAAAGAGCGCGUAGGUGGCUAGAUAAGUCCGGUGUGAAAUCCUUCGGCUUAACCGGGGAAUGGCAUCGGGGACUGUAUAGCUAGAGGACGGAAGAGGAGAGCGGAAUUCCCGGUGUAGCGGUGAAAUGCGUAGAGAUCGGGAGGAAUACCGAUGGCGAAGGCAGGUCUCUGGGCUAUAACUGACGCUCAUGCACGAAAGCGUGGGGAGCAAACAGG
rnacentral:rRNA from 1 species